rnacentral:rRNA from 1 species
UUUUUUUGAGAGUUUGAUCCUGGCUCAGGAUGAACGCUGGCGGUGUGCUUUAGGCAUGCAAGUCGAACGGUAACAGGUCUAGUUUACUAGAUGCUGACGAGUGGCGAACGGGUGAGUAACACGUAGGAAUCUACCUAGUAGCGGGGGAUAGCCCAUCGAAAGAUGGGAUAAUACCGCAUAAGCCCUUACGGGGAAAGCAUUUAUGCACUAUUAGAGGAGCCUGCGCGCUAUCAGUUAGUUGGUGGGGUAAUGGCCUACCAAGACUACGACGGCUAGCCGAUGUGAGAGCAUGAUCGGCCACAAGGUUACUGAGACACGGAACCUACACCUACGGGUGGCAGCAACCGGGAAUAUUGCGCAAUGGACGAAAGUCUGACGCAGCGACACCGCGUGUGGGAAGACGCUUUU